UAAUAAUUAAUUCAAAUACUUAAUAUUAAAAUUCAAUUUUAGUUCAGAAGAGAAAUAUAAAUAAAUAGAUUAAAAUAUUGCACUAUCCAUAUUUGGAUAAUCGAUUAUCGAUUCUUCGUUUCUCGAUUAUGCGUCUGCGCAUUAUGUAACAGUAAUAAUAUGCGGAUGCAUAGUCGCCAGGAUUCAAAGAGAAAAAAAACAGAGAGCGACUUGUUCAACGAACAGACUUUCUCUCAUCUCGACAUCCUUCCCUGAUGCCAACAGCUUCCUUCAAUGAUAUAACCACCAGAUAAUCAAGAAUUAGCAUUACUUAGGCUAUAGAAGCAGAUAUAUGCAUAAAAAUAAGAAAGAAAAUGCGGCAAUUUAUAACAUUCGUGUAAAUAUAAAUUCUCAUAUGCGACUACGGAAAUUCACUCAUUUCCUUCAUACAUUUCCUUCUCGCUUAAUUGCGAUUACGUUCAAUGCGUGCAUAACAACGUCAAAGAAAUAAAAAGAUUACGACACAAACGGAUUUACGCACAAUUAUGAAUACGCUCAAUUAAAUACAAUUAGACGCGAAAUAUUAAGUAUCGUAUAAAUAAAUUUAAUAAACGUGACAAAUAACUCGCGCUU